rnacentral:rRNA from 1 species
GACGAACGCUGGCGGCGUGCUUAACACAUGCAAGUCGAACGGAAAGGCCCUGCUUUUGUGCGGUGCUCGAGUGGCGAACGGGUGAGUAACACGUGAGUAACCUGCCCUUGUCUUUCGGAUAACUUCAGGAAACUGGGGCUAAUAUCGGACCGCAGCCCCCCUUGCAUUGUGGGCGUUGGAACGUUUCGGCGGUUGUGGAUGGACUCGCGGCUUAUCAGCUUGUUGGUGGGGUAGUGGCUUACCAAGGCUUUGACGGGUAGCCGGCCUGUGAGGGUGACCGGCCACAUUGGGACUGAGAUACGGCGCAGACUCCUACGGGAGGCAGCAGUGGGGAAUAUUGCACAAUGGGCGGAAGCCUGAUGAAGCAACGCCGCGUGCGGGAUGACGGCCUUCGGGUUGUGAACAGCUUUCGCCUAUGACGAAGCGUGAGUGACGGUAAUGGGUAAAGAAGCACCGGCUAACUACGUG